rnacentral:rRNA from 1 species
UACAGAGGGUGCGAGCGUUAAUCGGAAUUAUUGGGCGUAAAGAGCUCGUAGGCGGUUUGUCGCGUCCGCUGUGAAAAUCCAGGGCUUAACCCUGGACCUGCAGUGGGUACGGGCAGACUAGAGUGCGGUAGGGGAGAUCGGAAUUCCUGGUGUAGCGGUGAAAUGCGCAGAUAUCAGGAGGAACACCGGUGGCGAAGGCGGAUCUCUGGGCCGUAACUGACGCUGAGGAGCGAAAGCAUGGGGAGCGAACAGG